AAAGAGAAAGGCUAAUAUUUUCUUCCUACCCACACUGUAAUGACUUACCUUUGUAGUCUCAGUUUGUGGGUACUCACUUUGUAGUCUCAGUUUGUGGGUACCCACUUUGGAGGACACCAAAUAAGGAAUAUCGACAGACCUACCAACGGUUGAAGAAAACUUCUGAUGUGACAGAAGCAAACAGGACUUCACCCUCAAAGACAUUUUCUGGAAAAGCGUGGACUGCUGCUACCCUGGAUGGAGACUCCUUCUAGGGGAGUGUCUGAAUAGCAUUCGUCUGCCUCUAAUUAUUCUGGGUCACCAUGUCAGAUAAGUUGUCGGGAGGAGGAGCCAAGAUGGCCGAAUAGGAACAGCUCCGGUCUACAGCUCCCAGCGUGAGCGACACAGAAGACGGGUGAUUUCUGCAUUUCCAUCUGAGGUACCGGGUGCAUCUCACUAGGGAGUGCCAGACAGUGGGCGCAGGCCAGUGGGUGUGCGCACCGUGC
rnacentral:lncRNA from 10 species